AUUGAACGCUGGCGGCAGGCCUAACACAUGCAAGUCGAGCGGAUGAAGGGAGCUUGCUCCUGGAUUCAGCGGCGGACGGGUGAGUAAUGCCUAGGAAUCUGCCUGGUAGUGGGGGAUAACGUCCGGAAACGGGCGCUAAUACCGCAUACGUCCUGAUGGAGAAAGUGGGGGAUCUUCGGACCUCACGCUAUCAGAUGAGCCUAGGUCGGAUUAGCUAGUUGGUGGGGUAAAGGCCUACCAAGGCGACGAUCCGUAACUGGUCUGAGAGGAUGAUCAGUCACACUGGAACUGAGACACGGUCCAGACUCCUAAGGGAGGCAGCAGUGGGGAAUAUUGGACAAUGGGCGAAAGCCUGAUCCAGCCAUGCCGCGUGUGUGAAGAAGGUCUUCGGAUUGUAAAGCACUUUAAGUUGGGAGGAAGGGCAGUAAGUUAAUACCUUGCUGUUUUGACGUUACCAACAGAAUAAGCACCGGCUAACUUCGUG
rnacentral:rRNA from 1 species